CCUGGGCCUUCGGCAAACACUGACCCCUGCCCAGCCGCUGCCCUGGCCCCUCGCCACGUCCCUCUGGAAAAGAUCCAGUAGCAGAGCCAGGUUCUCAAACUGGGUCCCAUGGUCAACCGAGCCCCAUCUUCUUCUUUGGACUGGAGUUGGUGCAAAGCCACCCGGGUGCAUCCUGAUUUUUCCCUCUUGCACUUAGGGCUUUUCUCAUGGAUAUGAAAAGGUUUUCUUUCUUUGCUCUCUUUGUACUGAGAGGUGAGUGAUGAUAGCAGUGCUAUUGUAGAGUAAAAGUUAGACAGUGAGAGUGGGUGACUGGGGUGCAUCUGAACAGAGGGCCCGUGGCAGCAGGUGUACCACCUGGGCUGGACCUGAACCUGCCACUGGAGUAACUGCAGUAUCCAGGGUGGCACUUCUCUUCCCUUCCUAACUGGGGUUGAUCCCGGUUUGCUUUAUAGAGGCCACGUUGUUACAGGUCCCUCCUGGACGCCGAGGCAAUGAAACGCCAAAAUCCAAUGGUGACUUGGCCAUUUGCUGCCCGAGGGACCCUCAGAGAAUCCAGGCCAAAUUAGAGGCCAAUGGCCCCUAGAUGCCCAUGAUGAUGGCUUUUGGGAUAGGAAGGAAACUGUAGGAGUGAGGAAGACCUUAUCCUUUGACUCCUGGCACUAAUCAACAACGAUUAAGUUCAAAUGAGUGGAUUAAGUAGCUGGGGAAUGUCAAGUGCAGUAGGCCCUCGACGAGCAAACACAGUGCAGAAGAGUCCUCCUGUCACAGCCUGAAGCUGGAGAUUAUUGGGCAAAAGAAAAAGAGAAAUGGUGGUGGUGGAGGGAAGGCUCAAAAGCAUCAUGAGUUGAACAGAGAAGUGAAGAAAAGUAAUUUGAGGUCAGCAUGGAGCCUUCCCAGGAUACAAAAGUGCUCUGGAAUGUUAGCAAGAGUGGAAGACACUCUUCCUGUCCCUGGAAAGCCGACCUCCCAGGGGGUGUUGGGAGAAGAGAGAAUAAUUAAAUAGUGUGAGCAGGGCUUCAGGAGACCACGGGGAUCGUGCAGGACCUCAGGCAUCCCUGGCUCCUACACUGUGACCUGGUCCUAGAUCCUUGGCUGAGGGCUGGACCGUUUGGUGGACAUGCUGUGGAAUAAAGUGGAGACAGUAGUGGGGAUUCCAGAUUCAUCAUGAGGAUCUCAUGAUAGUGACAGUAGCAGUCUUUGGAUACUGCAGAUUUUGGGAGCCAGUCAGAUCCACAUCAUCAUGCUGAUACAGGUGGAAGUGGACAGUGGCCACCAAGCCAAUGAAGCUGUGUUCUUUGUCUCCCUGGUGCUUGUCCAAAUACCAGGCAAAAAAGUCAUGAUGACUAAAGGUUUACUGAACAGAACCAAAUUCAUUGAGCAUUCCUAGUGUUCCUGCCACCACACCAGGGUUUUGAAUGGCUUUUGAUGCUGUGUAAGUGCUGCUGACUCUCAAAUGCGUGUCCUCUACCCAAAGCAGAGGUGGAAUUCAGAUGCUCAGAGCGGCUGUGACCCAACCUGCUCCUUGACUAAGCAUCUUCCAAUCCUGGGAAAUGACAUUGCUGACUGCCUGGCUGUUCGAGCCAGAAAUCUGGAGUAUUUUUUUUUCUCCCUUCCCUCCAGUUUACCCCAAGCCGGGUUGACUCCCCCACUUCUAGCUCCCAGGAAUUUCAUUGUCAUGUCACUAUCUCUGCUGUUUCCACACUGGUUGGAAACACCACUGGGCUCUCCCCUGAGUAGCAGACUCCUAACUGAGUGUGACCCAACUCAUUUUUCUCCCAGCCACUGAUGUCAAAAACAGAAAUCAGUUUAGAUCGCUCAUUUAAAAUCCUUCACUAGGGGCAGCCCCUGUGGCGCAGCGGUUUAGAGCCGCCUACAGCCUGGGGUGUGAUCCUGGAGGCCCGGGA